UACGUAGGGGGCAAGCGUUGUCCGGAUUUAUUGGGCGUAAAGAGCGUGUAGGCGGCCAGGUAGGUCUGCUGUGAAAACUCGAGGCUCAACCUCGAGAUGUCGGCGGAAACCAUCUGGCUAGAGUCCGGAAGAGGAGAAUGGAAUUCCCGGUGUAGCGGUGAAAUGCGCAGAUAUCGGGAAGAACACCCGUGGCGAAGGCGGUUCUCUGGGACGGUACUGACGCUGAGACGCGAAAGCGUGGGGAGCGAUCCGG
rnacentral:rRNA from 1 species